rnacentral:tmRNA from 1 species
GGGGCUGAUUAUGGUUUCGACUUCGGACACUGAGCCAGGGGAAGCGUGCCGGUGAAGGCUGGAGGCCACCGCAAGCGCCGCAGCAAAAAAAUAAGCGCAGAGAAGAACUCUCAGCGUGACUACGCCCUCGCUGCCUAAGUAGCGAGCUGCGUGUCUGUCGGACCAGGUUCGCCACUAACCUGGACCCCGGCAUCGACUCAAGUGGCUUGCCUGUCGGCCGCGUCAGCGGGGCCGGCGGGGACUCUUACCGCUGACUGGGCUCAUCAUCCGGGACGGUGUCCGUCCAAGCCGGAGAGCCGAGUAGCGAUCAAUGCGGACUGCGCACGGAGAAGCCCUGGCAACGUGCCGGAGGACCCGGGUUCAAUCCCCGGCAGCUCCACCA